rnacentral:RNase_P_RNA from 1 species
GACCGGUCGCGGCCGCAAGGCCGAGGAAAGUCCGGACUCCGCAGGGCAGAGGAUCCGCCUGUCAAGGGCGGAAGGCGUCGGGCGACCCGGCGCGAUGGAAAGUGCCACAGAGACUAGACAGCCCCUCGCGGGGUGAUGGUGAAAAGGCGGGGCAAGAGCCCACCGGCGCGGCUGAAACGACGCGCGCAAGGCAAACCCUCCUCGGAGCAAGAUCAAAUAGGGAACCGACGGGCGGCCCGUCCGGCGGCGUCCAGAAGGACGCCUUCAGGUUCCGGGUUGAUUGCUCAGAUGAAUGAUCGGAGCCCUCUUUCGCGUAGCCAAUCGACGGGAGGGUGAACAGAAUCCGGCUUAUUCGCCCGC